rnacentral:tRNA from 1 species
GACUUGGUAGCUCAGUCGGUAGAGCAUUACACUUUUAAUGUAAGGGUCCUGGGUUCGAUCCCCAGCCAGGUCA